AAUUGAUUAGUUUAAAAUAAAACUAAUGUUUUGAAAACAUUUAAUAGAGUAGUUCAAAUUCUAUCAAUUA
rnacentral:tRNA from 1 species